rfam:Apaloderma vittatum contig46215, whole genome shotgun sequence.
GGUUAGAGCUCGGUCGGUUAGAGCUUGGUGCUGAUAACACCACGGUCGCGGGUUCGAUCCCCGUUGGGUCCC